rnacentral:rRNA from 1 species
GACGAACGCUGGCGGCGUGCCUAAUACAUGCAAGUUGAGCGAUGAAGAUUGGUGCUUGCCCCAAUUUGAAGAGCAGCGAACGGGUGAGUAACGCGUGGGGAAUCUGCCUUUGAGCGGGGGACAACAUUUGGAAACGAAUGCUAAUACCGCAUAACAACUUUAAACAUAAGUUUUAAGUUUGAAAGAUGCAAUUGCAUCACUCAAAGAUGAUCCCGCGUUGUAUUAGCUAGUUGGUGAGGUGAAGGCUCACCAAGGCGAUGAUACAUAGCCGACCUGAGAGGGUGAUCGGCCACAUUGGGACUGAGACACGGCCCAAACUCCUACGGGAGGCAGCAGUAGGGAAUCUUCGGCAAUGGACGAAAGUCUGACCGAGCAACGCCGCGUGAGUGAAGAAGGUUUUCGGAUCGUAAAACUCUGUUGGUAGAGAAGAACGUUGGUGAGAGUGGAAAGCUCAUCAAGUGACGGUAACUACCCAGAAAGGGACGGCUAACUACGUG